rnacentral:rRNA from 1 species
UACGUAUGGAGCAAGCGUUAUCCGGAUUUACUGGGUGUAAAGGGAGCGUAGACGGAAUGGCAAGUCUGAUGUGAAAGGCCGGGGCUCAACCCCGGGACUGCAUUGGAAACUGUCAGUCUUGAGUGCCGGAGAGGUAAGCGGAAUUCCUAGUGUAGCGGUGAAAUGCGUAGAUAUUAGGAGGAACACCAGUGGCGAAGGCGGCUUACUGGACGGUAACUGACGUUGAGGCUCGAAGGCGUGGGGAGCAA